GAUGAACGCUGGCGGCGUGCCUAAUACAUGCAAGUCGAGCGAACAGACGAGGAGCUUGCUCCUCUGACGUUAGCGGCGGACGGGUGAGUAACACGUGGAUAACCUACCUAUAAGACUGGGAUAACUUCGGGAAACCGGAGCUAAUACCGGAUAAUAUAUUGAACCGCAUGGUUCAAUAGUGAAAGACGGUUUUGCUGUCACUUAUAGAUGGAUCCGCGCCGCAUUAGCUAGUUGGUAAGGUAACGGCUUACCAAGGCAACGAUGCGUAGCCGACCUGAGAGGGUGAUCGGCCCCAGUGGAACUGAGCCCCGGUCCAGACUCCUACGGAGGGCAGCAGUAGGGAAUCUUCCGAAAUGGGCGAAAGCCUGACGGAGCAACGCCGCGUGGGUGAUGAAGGUCUUCGGAUCGUAAAACUCUGUUAUAGGGAAGAACAAAUGUGUAAGUAACUAUGCACGUCUUGACGGUACCUAAUCAGAAAGCCACGGCUAACUACGUG
rnacentral:rRNA from 1 species